CUGGUCCGUACCUUCGUAGGUGAUUUCUAAUUUGUCCCACAUUUGCUUGGCAGUGGUGCAACAUGAUAUUUUUCGAUAGUCAUCGGGGUUCGCUGCACAAUACAUCAUGUUGAUUGCCUUUCCGUUGUUCUCUAUUUUUCUGAUAUCAUCGGCGCCGUAUUCAUCUUCCGUUUUUGGAACGAGUUCUUCUCCAACCUUUUUG
rnacentral:lncRNA from 1 species